rnacentral:rRNA from 1 species
UACGUAGGGUGCAAGCGUUAAUCGGAAUUACUGGGCGUAAAGCGUGCGCAGGCGGUUUUGUAAGUCUGUCGUGAAAUCCCCAGGCUCAACCUGGGAACUGCAUUUGAAACUCCCUUUCUUGAGUACCGGAGAGGAAAGUGGAAUUCCUGGUGUAGAGGUGAAAUUCGUAGAUAUCAGGAGGAACACCAGUGGCGAAGGCGGCUUUCUGGACGGUAACUGACGCUGAGACGCGAAAGCGUGGGGAGCAAACAGG